UGCCCACUGCGGGAAUCGAACCCGGGGCGUAGCGGUCGAAAACCAACGGUUUAGACCAGCUCUGGCAAACCUAAAUGACGCCACGGGC